GACAGAGGGUGCAAACGUUGUUCGGAAUUACUGGGCGUAAAGCGUGUGUAGGCGGUCCGAUAAGUCGGGUGUGAAAGCCCUGGGCUCAACCCAGGAAGUGCACUCGAAACUGCCGGGCUAGAGUAUCGGAGAGGUUGGUGGAAUUCUCGGUGUAGAGGUGAAAUUCGUAGAUAUCGAGAGGAACACCAGCGGCGAAGGCGGCGCUCUGGGCCGGAACUGACGCUGAGGAGCGAAAGCGUGGGUAGCAAACAGG
rnacentral:rRNA from 1 species